rnacentral:rRNA from 1 species
CCCCAUGGGCAGGUCGAACGAUGAAGCCCAGCUUGCUGGGUGGAUUAGUGGCGAACGGGUGAGUAACACGUGAGCAACCUGCCCCUGACUCUGGGAUAAGCGCUGGAAACGGCGUCUAAUACUGGAUAUGUCCCAUCACCGCAUGGUGUGUGGGUGGAAAGAUUUUUCGGUUGGGGAUGGGCUCGCGGCCUAUCAGCUUGUUGGUGAGGUAAUGGCUCACCAAGGCGUCGACGGGUAGCCGGCCUGAGAGGGUGACCGGCCACACUGGGACUGAGACACGGCCCAGACUCCUACGGGAGGCAGCAGUGGGGAAUAUUGCACAAUGGGCGGAAGCCUGAUGCAGCAACGCCGCGUGAGGGAUGACGGCCUUCGGGUUGUAAACCUCUUUUAGCAGGGAAGAAGCGAAAGUGACGGUACCUGCAGAAAAAGCACCGGCUAACUACGUGCCAGCAGCCGCGGUAAUACGUAGGGUGCAAGCGUUAUCCGGAAUUAUUGGGCGUAAAGAGCUCGUAGGCGGUUUGUCGCGUCUGCUGUGAAAUCCCGAGGCUCAACUUCGGGCUUGCAGUGGGUACGGGCAGACUAGAGUGCGGUAGGGGAGAUUGGAAUUCCUGGUGUAGCGGUGGAAUGCGCAGAUAUCAGGAGGAACACCGAUGGCGAAGGCAGAUCUCUGGGCCGUAACUGACGCUGAGGAGCGAAAGGGUGGGGAGCAAACAGGCUUAGAUACCCUGGUAGUCCACCCCGUAAACGUUGGGAACUAGUUGUGGGGUCCUUUCCACGGAUUCCGUGACGCAGCUAACGCAUUAAGUUCCCCGCCUGGGGGAGUACGGCCGCAAGGCUAAAACUCAAAGGAAUUGACGGGGACCCGCACAAGCGGCGGAGCAUGCGGAUUAAUUCGAUGCAACGCGAAGAACCUUACCAAGGCUUGACAUACACGAGAACGGGCCAGAAAUGGUCAACUCUUUGGACACUCGUGAACAGGUGGUGCAUGGUUGUCGUCAGCUCGUGUCGUGAGAUGUUGGGUUAAGUCCCGCAACGAGCGCAACCCUCGUUCUAUGUUGCCAGCACGUAAUGGUGGGAACUCAUGGGAUACUGCCGGGGUCAACUCGGAGGAAGGUGGGGAUGACGUCAAAUCAUCAUGCCCCUUAUGUCUUGGGCUUCACGCAUGCUACAAUGGCCGGUACAAUGGGCUGCGAUACCGUAAGGUGGAGCGAAUCCCAAAAAGCCGGUCCCAGUUCGGAUUGAGGUCUGCAACUCGACCUCAUGAAGUCGGAGUCGCUAGUAAUCGCAGAUCAGCAACGCUGCGGUGAAUACGUUCCCGGGUCCUUGUACACACGCGCAAAAGUCUCACUCCCUGUUGAGUUCGGUGUUUUCUUUACCCCCCGCC